GACAGAGGGUGCGAACGUUGUUCGGAAUUACUGGGCGUAAAGCGCGUGUAGGCGGCAGCGCAAGUCGGGCGUGAAAUCCCACGGCUCAACCGUGGAAGUGCACUCGAAACUGCGCAGCUAGAGUCCUGGAGAGGAAGGUGGAAUGCUUGGUGUAGAGGUGAAAUUCGUAGAUAUCGAGAGGAACACCGGUGGCGAAGGCGGCCUUCUGGACAGUGACUGACGCUGAGACGCGAAAGCGUGGGGAGCAAACAGG
rnacentral:rRNA from 1 species